UACGUAGGGUGCAAGCAUUAACCGGAUUUAUUGGGCGUAAAGGGCGCGUAGGCGGGGAUGUAAGUCAGAUGUGAAAUCCCGGAGCUCAACUUCGGAACAGCAUUUGGAACUACAUCUCUAGAGGGUAGGCGGAGAAAACGGAAUCCCACAAGUAGCGGUGAAAUGCGUAGAUAUGUGGAAGAACACCGGUGGCGAAGGCGGUUUUCUAGCUUACUCCUGACGCUGAGGCGCGAAAGCAAGGGGAUCAAACAGG
rnacentral:rRNA from 1 species